rnacentral:rRNA from 1 species
CCUACGGGAGGCAGCAGUGAGGAAUAUUGGUCAAUGGCCGGGAGGCUGAACCAGCCAAGUCGCGUGAGGGAAGACAGCCCUACGGGUUGUAAACCUCUUUUGUCAGGGAGCAAGGUGCAGGUCGGGACCUGCUGUGAGAGUACCUGAAGAAAAAGCAUCGGCUAACUCCGUGCCAGCAGCCGCGGUAAUACGGAGGAUGCGAGCGUUAUCCGGAUUUAUUGGGUUUAAAGGGUGCGCAGGCGGAGGCACAAGUCAGCGGUAAAAUCGCGGGGCUCAACCCCGCUCCGCCGUUGAAACUGUGUGCCUUGAGUGCGCGAAGGGUAGGCGGAAUGCGUGGUGUAGUGGUGAAAUGCAUAGAUAGCACGCAGAACUCCGAUCGCGAAGGCAGCCUACCGGCGCGCAACUGACGCUCAUGCACGAAAGCGUGGGUAUCGAACAGGAUUAGAUACCCGAGUAGUC